rnacentral:ncRNA from 1 species
AUAAGCAGGGGAGCUUGUGGAGCAGGCUGAGAGGAAGCGUUUAGCUUCGACCCUAUAACCUGAUGCGGGUAAUGCCGCCGUAGGAAGA